rnacentral:rRNA from 1 species
AUUGAACGCUGGCGGCAGGCCUAACACAUGCAAGUCGAACGGUAACAGAAAGCAGCUUGCUGCUUUGCUGACGAGUGGCGGACGGGUGAGUAAUGUCUGGGAAACUGCCUGAUGGAGGGGGAUAACUACUGGAAACGGUAGCUAAUACCGCAUAACGUCGCAAGACCAAAGAGGGGGACCUUCGGGCCUCUUGCCAUCGGAUGUGCCCAGAUGGGAUUAGCUUGUUGGUGGGGUAACGGCUCACCAAGGCGACGAUCCCUAGCUGGUCUGAGAGGAUGACCAGCCACACUGGAACUGAGACACGAUCCAGACUCCUGCGGAAGGCAGCAGUGGGGAAUAUUACACAAUGGGCGCAAGCCUGAUGCAGCCAUGCCGCGUGUAUAAAGAAGGCCUUCGGGUUGUAAGGUACUUUCAGCGGGGAGAAAGGGAGUAAAGUUAAUACCUUUGCUCAUUGACGUUACCCGCAGAAGAAGCACCGGCUAACUCCGUG